CCUACGGGAGGCAGCAGUAGGGAAUCUUCCACAAUGGACGAAAGUCUGAUGGAGCAACGCCGCGUGAGUGAAGAAGGGUUUCGGCUCGUAAAGCUCUGUUGGUAGUGAAGAAAGAUAGAGGUAGUAACUGGCCUUUAUUUGACGGUAAUUACUUAGAAAGUCACGGCUAACUACGUGCCAGCAGCCGCGGUAAUACGUAGGUGGAAAGCGUUGUCCGGAUUUAUUGGGUGUAAAGCGAGUGCAGGUGGUUCAAUAAGUCUGAUGUGAAAGGCUUCGGCUCAACCGGAGAAUUGCAUCAGAUACUGUCGAACUUGAGUGCAGAAGAGGAGAGUGGAACGCCAGGUGUAGCGGUGGAAUGCGUAGAUAUAUGGAAGAACACCAGUGGCGAAGGCGGCUCUCUAGUCUGCAACUGACGCUGAGGCUCGAAAGCAUGGGUAGCGAACAGGAUUAGAUACCCUUGUAGUC
rnacentral:rRNA from 1 species